rnacentral:lncRNA from 1 species
UCAAAUUUAUCAACAAAAUUGUAGCAAUAAUACUAUCUUUUCAAUUCUCAAAAAUCAACUUAAUUAGGCAAACCACAAUUUGUCAUGACCCAAGCAAGCCUAUCCAUUUACCUUUGCUUAACAAAUUUAUCAUAUCAUGCAUACACACACACCUUUUCCCAGGUGUGAACAUAGCCAAAACACAAUGGCAUUAUCGAUAAUAAUAUACAUGCACUAUACCAGUCAUGUAUUUAGCAAUUUACAUUGCAUACACAUAUUCACAUUGUUAGAUUGUAUUCACAAUACAAAAGGACCCAUGACUUUCAGCGGAGACAUUUACAAUAAAAGGGAUUACUAUCGAAUGCCAAACACAGACCCAGGAGAUGCACUGUGGGGACUCCUCGAUCUAGGGUCCAAU